rnacentral:sRNA from 1 species
GUGCCCCGGGUGGGGCGAGGGCCAGUCAUGGCGGAGUCCUGGUCUGGGCAGGCCUUGCAGGCUCUGCCGGCCACGGUACUGGGCGCGCUGGGCGCGCUGGGCAGCGAGUUCUUGCGGGAGUGGGAGGCGCAGGACAUGCGCGUGACCCUCUUCAAGCUGCUGCUGCUGUGGUUGGUGUUAAGUCUCCUGGGCAUCCAGCUGGCGUGGGGUUUCUACGGGAAUACAGUGACCGGGUUGUAUCACCGUCCAGGUGAGGCUUCCUACGAACCUCCGUGGUCUGGCCGCCCCCGCCCCCACCCUCUCCUGACUGUACCAUUGGGUUCCCCACUAUCCUGCAAGAGGCUCAUCAGAACUUAACAUUGGUUCACGGCCUUACCACCCUGAACGCAUCUGACCUCGGAAGCUAAGCCGGGUCUGGGUGGUCAGAAUGGAUCCACGCCUGAUGGCUCCACGCAUUUCCCUUCGUGGGAAAUGGCAGCAAACGAACCUCUCAAAACCCACAGAGAAUAAGGGAAGGCAGCAGAGGGUCUCCAAGGGCAUCACUGGGUCUGCUGGCUUCUACACUGGGUUCUGCUACUCCCCAGACCUCAGGGACAACUGCGGGGGGUUCAGGGUUGGUAGCAGGGAGUACCCAGUGCCUGCAGGGCUGGGCCUCUUCUGCCUCUUAACCCUGCUCCCUCACCCAGGCACUGGGCAAGUGAAGAGUUUGCCUGUACUCUUAUCUGGGUGCCUUAAGGAGAGAGAUUGUGUUCUUCCUGUCUCAGGGGUGAUAACUCAGGAAGCCUCUGGGUUGGGAAGACCAUCAGUUCUUUUGUCUUAGGUUUCUUUUCCUGUCCCUCUUCCCAUCCCCAAGAUGUGACCCCAUAAAAAUUUUUCCUGAGUUGGCCAGGCAUGGUGGCUCACGCCUGUAAUCCCAACACUUUGGGAGGCUGAGGCAGGCAGAUCACGAGGUCAGGAGUUUGAGACCAGCCUGACCAACAUAGUGAAAACCCCAUCUCUACUAAAAAUACAAAAAUUAGCCGGGUGUGGUGGCACGCACCAGUAAUCCCAGCUACUCAGGAGGCUGAAGCAGGAGAUUCGCUUGAACCUGG